CAGUUGUGCGAUGGGAACAUGUGACGUGUGAGUGUGAGUAGUGACAGUUGUGUACCGGGGAGUGUAAAAAGACUGGGUCCCGCUGUAUUACUCAGGCUGCACUACAACGUCUAUUCACAGGCGCGAUCCCACUACUGAGCGGCACGGGGGCUUUGGCCUGCUCCGUUUCCGACCUGGGCCGAUGCACCCCUCCUUAGACGACCUGGUGGUCCCGGGCUCCCCCGGCAGCACCAUAUCGAUACCGAACUUAGUGCGGACACCCGAUCGACAUAGUCCGCUGCAGCUCAGAUCUCCUGAGCUCAAACGAUCCGCCAGACUCAGCCUCCCGGUAACUUGGAUUACAGGCGCGCGCCACCGCGCCCGGCGAGGAACACGCUCACUCACAGGGAGUUUGAGUCUGGCCGACGUGACGUCAUAGGCAAGAGCAUAGCAAUCUUCCGGACAGAGGAGCAAAAGAAGGCGAAGAAGUAGAGAUAGAAAAAGAGAUGAAACAAGAAUGAACCUCAGACGGGCAUUCACUCCUUGAGAGGCUUCAGGUUUUCUUUCCUCUGGAUCAUAUGGCUGCUGUCCUCCCGUGAUGCUUACGCUGAUGCUAGUCAACGCCAGGAGCCAGAGUACGAGCAGUCAUCCUGCUGGUUCCUCGCCUGUCGCUCUUGCCGGGCUGUCAGUGUAGCUUCAUGCCUGUAGACCUCACGUUUAUCCUCCCUGCUCUUCGUUUCUCUCUUCCUACUUCUGAGUCCACACCUCGAUCACCAGAACCACACUCAGCGCUUUGAUGGGGCAGGGGAGCAAACCUGGGUGGAGACAGGAGAUUUACGGCCGAUAGAAGCAGGCAGGCCAUUAAAGCCCAGCGGCCUGCUAAUGAACAGUCACUGCAAUCACGCGGAGAGGAGUACAGUAUGUGUGGAGCUCAUCGAUCCAGUGCCGUCCUGCGGGACGUCUAAAGCUGUAGUUUGACCCUGUCGCAUCAAAGAACAACAAGAUUCGUCUUUAUUUUCUAGUCAAAUUGCUUUUGUACGUCCGAUUUUGGACAACGUGUAAUUUUCUUAUGGUUUUUUUACUCAGACAAAGCAGAACCUUAACAGAUAUUAAAUAUAACAGAUAACACUCUGCUGAUUCUGCAGUGUCUACAAAAUGGCAACUAAAGUCAGCUUCCAGCCACCACCCCCCAAAGCGCACACACACACACACACAC